UACGAAGGUGGCAAGCGUUGUUCGGAUUUACUGGGCGUAAAGGGAGCGUAGGUGGUUAGGUAAGCCCUCCGGGAAAUCUUCAGGCUUAACCUGAAAAGGUCGGGGGGGACUGCCUGGCUAGAGGACGGGAGAGGAGCGCGGAAUUCCCGGUGUAGCGGUGAAAUGCGUAGAGAUCGGGAGGAAGGCCGGUGGCGAAGGCGGCGCUCUGGACAGCAACUGACGCUGAGGCACGAAGGCCAGGGGAGCAAACGGG
rnacentral:rRNA from 1 species